rnacentral:tRNA from 7 species
GGAGGGAUGGCUGAGCGGUUGAAAGCACCGGUCUUGAAAACCGGCAUAGGUUAAUAGCCUAUCUAGGGUUCGAAUCCCUAUCCCUCCGCCA